rnacentral:rRNA from 1 species
ACCACGCCGCGUGAGCGAUGAAGGCCUUCGGGUCGUAAAGCUCUGUUGUUAGCGGAAGAACAAGUGCUAGUUGAAUAAGCUGGCACCUUGACGGUACCUAACCAGAAAGCCACGGCUAACUACGUGCCAGCAGCCGCGGUAAUACGUAGGUGGCAAGCGUUAUCCGGAAUUAUUGGGCGUAAAGCGCGCGCAGGUGGUUUCUUAAGUCUGAUGUGAAAGCCCACGGCUCAACCGUGGAGGGUCAUUGGAAACUGGGAGACUUGAGUGCAGAAGAGGAAAGUGGAAUUCCAUGUGUAGCGGUGAAAUGCGUAGAGAUAUGGAGGAACACCAGUGGCGAAGGCGACUUUCUGGUCUGUAACUGACACUGAGGCGCGAAAGCGUGGGGAGCAAACAGGAUUAGAUACCCCCGGUAGAA